rnacentral:rRNA from 1 species
AACGAACGCUGGCGGCAUGCCUAACACAUGCAAGUCGAACGGGACCGUCUGGUCUAGUUGCUCACUUGUGCGUAACCCGUUGGAAACUGCGCUUAUGUUCGGAAUAUCUUCCCGAACGGAGUUCGGAUACCGGAUAAUGUCUUCGGUCCAAAUAUUGAUCGCCUUUGAGUGUGGCGGCGGUGGUGUAGCUAGUUGGUAGGGUGAAAGCCUACCAACGCGACGAUUCAUAGCUGGUCUGAGAGGCUGAGGAGCCACACUGGGACCGAGACACGGCACAGACUCCUACGGGAGGACGCAGUGGGGAAUCCUGGACCAUGGGCGCAAGCCUGAUGCAGCCAGGCCGCGUGAGUGAUGCACGUCUUAGGGUUGUAAAGCUCUUUUAGCCGGGAUGAUAAUGACAGUACCGGGAGAAUAAGCACCGGCUAACUACGUG